ACACGCAUGACACACUGCAUAUCAAUAAGCGGAGGAAAAGAAACUAACAAGGAUUCCCUUAGCAACGGCGAGUGAAGCGGGAAGAGCUCAAAUUUGAAAUCUUCAAGGUUUUACCUUGACGAAUUGUAGUUUAAAGAAGUGUUUUCUGUUGGAGUUUCGGUAAAAGUUCUUUGGAAUAGGACAUCAUAGAGGGUGAGAAUCCCGUAUUUGACCGUUACUUUCCAGCUGUGUGAUACACUUUCAAAGAGUCGGAUUGUUUGGGAAUGCAGUCCAAAAUGGGUGGUAAAUUUCAUCUAAAGCUAAAUAUUGGCGAGAGACCGAUAGCGAACAAGUACCGUGAGGGAAAGAUGAAAAGAACUUUGAAAAGAGAGUUAAACAGUACGUGAAAUUGUCAAAAGGGAAGCGUUUGACACCAGUGUUGUUUAGUUGAAAAUCAAUUCAAUAAUUUUUGAUUUUGAGUAGUAUUGACUUCAUCAGCUUGCUGCUUUCUUUUCGGAAAUUAUUGAAUGCACUUUUCAGUUAACAAGUCAACAUCAAUUUCUUUUGUUGUAAAAGGGUAAGAGGAAGGUGGCUUACGCUUCGGCGUAAGUGUUUAUAGCCUUUUACCUCUGCAAUCGGAGAGAUUGAGGACAGCAGCGUAGACUCCUUCGGGGUUAGAUACACUUGUGCUAAGCUAUAGCCUUGUAUAGACAACUUGUUGACUAUGCUCAGUCAUGUAGCUUACUCGCUUGUGCUAUUUUACCUACGCUUAGGAUGUUGAGCGCAUGUCUCUCUCU
rnacentral:rRNA from 1 species